rnacentral:rRNA from 1 species
AUUGAACGCUGGCGGCAGGCCUAACACAUGCAAGUCGAACGGUAACAGAAAGCAGCUUGCUGCUUUGCUGACGGGUGGCGGACGGGUGAGUAAUGUCUGGGAAACUGCCUGAUGGAGGGGGAUAACUACUGGAAACGGUAGCUAAUACCGCAUAACGUCGCAAGACCAAAGAGGGGGACCUUCGGGCCUCUUGCCAUCGGAUGUGCCCAGAUGGGAUUAGCUAGUAGGUGGGGUAACGGCUCACCUAGGCGACGAUCCCUAGCUGGUCUGAGAGGAUGACCAGCCACACUGGAACUGAGACACGGUCCAGACUCCUACGGGAGGCAGCAGUGGGGAAUAUUGCACAAUGGGCGCAAGCCUGAUGCAGCCAUGCCGCGUGUAUGAAGAAGGCCUUCGGGUUGUAAAGUACUUUCAGCGGGGAGGAAGGGAGUAAAGUUAAUACCUUUGCUCAUUGACGUUACCCGCAGAAGAAGCACCGGCUAACUCCGUG